GAUGUCCGGGGGGAGGGCAGUGUAGACAAUGAGGAUGGUGAGGAGGGUGAGGAAGGCGAGGAGAGUGAGGAGAGUGAAGAUGGUGUUGAGGAUGAUGAUGAUGAUGAUGACGAUGACGCCAACUCAGAUAUGGCGCGCAGUGAUAUUCUAAUAUCUCAUCCCAAUAGUGAUAAGGAGGAAGAGGUAGCAUCUUAGAGUAAGUAUGUUACAAAGUCAUCUGAGUUCCAGAUGGCUGACUUGGGGCACCUAAAAUUGAUAGGCACAAGUUGAUGAUGAUGGUCAAAGCUCCCUCUGUCAAACAUCUGAUCUCCAGCCUACAAUUGACGCUGAACCGCCAUCAAUUCCCCAUAAUACCCCACCUACUACUGUUGCUUCAUCUAGAGGUAUAGGGGUCAGAGUAGAGGUAGGUAGGAGUAUUGGUAGGGGUAAGGGUAGUGGUAGGGGUCAACCUACCCCACAAGGGAUGCCAUCUGCACGAACAAGAAGUUAGUAUGAGUCACAGAAUCAGACUCGAACCAAUAUCAUUCCUGAAGGUAAUGUGAAAAAAGUAAGAUGGUGUGGACCCCAAACGAUCGGUCAGCCUUGGUCACAGCCUCAUCCUCAAACAAAUGUGAUUUCACAAGGUACUGCCAAUACCGUAAGGUGGUAUGGACCUCAACAACCAAGAAUCUCAAGGGAAUGUUAAUACAGUAAGACUAUAUGGACCUCCGCAGACAAGGAGCCAAUAUCAGUCACAGCCUCUGCGUCAUACUAAUGCUAUUGGUACUGUCAAUACAGUACAACUGUAUGGACCUCCUCAGACAACAGGACAUUCACAGCCACCUGGCUCUUCACAGCCACAUGGCUCUUCUCAAACAUUAGGUUGUUCUCAGGCAUCGGGUUCUUCUCAGCCGGUGGGGUCUUCAUCAAGGCCGGUGACUAGAGCUAGAAAUAUUGUUCCAACAGUAGAUAAAGCAAUGGAAAUGAUUGAGGCUAAGAAGAACAAGAGAAAGAGGCCAGAUUGGAAGUGAUUGAGCAUCAAUGUUGUUUCUUUUUAACUUAUGUGGUGUUACAUAUGCAACUGUUAACUUAUAUGGAACAGUUUGUUGGGUUGCGGUGUGAUUUAUAUGUUGUUGGAUGACAGAACAUGUUUUUUGUGUAAGUAUGUUUUAGAUAUGUUUUGCUGACAAACAGCUAUUUUAGGGAUUGUAAGUGGAAUGGCUAUGCAACAACUAUUUUCGGGAUUGUAAGUGGAAUGGCUAUGGUGUAAUGUAAGUAUGUUUUGGAUAUGUUUUGUUGACAAACAACUAUUUUCGGGAUUGCAAGUGGAAUGGCUAUGGUAUAGUAUAAGUAUGUUUUGGAUAUGUUUUGUUGACAAA